rnacentral:lncRNA from 1 species
AUAUAUCAAUACUCCAGCACCUUUUCUUUUUAUGAUGGUGGUGUCCAAGACAGCUUCCGCACACCUUAGACCAUUCUUUUGGGUACCUCCCACCAAUACAAGUACCGGGUAACUCUGCCUGUCAAGGCUUAGACAACUAAGAAGAAAUCACCUAGUGUUUUGAACCUGAGACCUCAUGAUUCCCCUCCCACUUUAGUUC